GAUGAAGAACGCAGCGAAAUGCGAUAAGUAAUGUGAAUUGCAGAAUUCAGUGAAUCAUCGAAUCUUUGAACGCACAUUGCGCCCGCCAGUAUUCUGGCGGGCAUGCCUGUUCGAGCGUCAUUUCAACCAUCAAGCCCCAGGCUUGUGUUGGGGACCUGCGGCUGCCGCAGGCCCUGAAAACCAGUGGCGGGCUCGCUAGUCACUCCGAGCGUAGUAAUACAUCUCGCUCAGGGCGUGCUGCGGGUUCCGGCCGUUAAAAGCCUUAUUUACCCAAGGUUGACCUCGGAUCAGGUAGGAAGACCCGCUGAACUUAAGCAUAUCAAUAAGCGGAGGA
rnacentral:misc_RNA from 1 species